rnacentral:lncRNA from 10 species
GGGCGGAGGUGGUGGAAACAGCCCUAGGAAUGGCGUGAGGGGACGUGGAGGCUAAGCAGAGCCUGGAGGUGGAGGAAGUGUGUUGCCGGCGCCCUGGGUUCAUUAGCUUUCCCCAGGAAGCCACUCAGCCUUGCAAGUGCCCCUAGGACUACAGCAGGUUCCUCAGGAUGUCACCGGGCAUCCAGCAGUGCUCUACCUCCUCAGUGCUUUCCAGAGGCCUAACUCCCACCACCCCAGCAUUGGGCGUCAUUCUUAUUCCUCAUGGGCAAAAUGCGCUUGGUGCACUAGGUGAGUCCUUCCUUCUCACACCAGAUAAGAAACACAUAAUCCAUCUGCACAUUUCUAUCUGUUAACACUGACUGUGAACAGGCUAGAUCCAAAUUAGGAGAAAAUGACACCAUUACUAGCUAUCAACGUCCAGGCCAGUGUCAGAGUUAAUGCAUCACAAGGCCUGGAGGUGGAGGCAGUCUGUGCCCAGAUCCCCAAGGCCUGUAGUCUCCCAGGCCUGACUGGGGCCAGCUGGGGAUUACAGGUCCCCAGCCAGGUCUGGGGCAGCCACAAGCCCUCCCCACUCAGCCCCCACAGCCUUCCAGGUCUUCAAGAAGCUCCUGAUCCUGCCUGUAAGUGUCCAGCCCUUGACACCCCUCCUGUCAGCCAGUUUAGGAGCUUCACAUUUUCAUUCUCUUCUUGUUCACACAUCUUUUGGGGACUGUUUCCUCUCUCAGACCAGACUACAAAACCUGGAUUGAAAAAUGUCGUAACUAGAGGGACCUGGAAAUCACCUAAUUAAUGUUUUCUUUUAUGCUGAGACAGAGUGAGAGAGGCAUCCAUGUACACACAGCUAGAGGCAGAACCGGCGCCCAGCACGUAACAGGUGCCCAGUAAUGUUUCCUGAAUUGAAGUGAAUUGGCUGAACCAGGGCAAGCAGGAAGGCCUUGCUUCUGACUUCCAGGCUGCACCACUCAGCCUCCCCAUCUUAUGUCUCAAAGACGGAAAAAUUGUGACUCAGAGAGGAAGAGUAACACAGGUGAUCAGUAGAAGAGCUGAAAUCCAACUCAAGUGUCGUAGUUCCCAGUUAGGGACUCUUUCUCUGACUUCCAGUCUACGCCAGCCUAAUAGUGAGAUUGAAGCUAAACACUUGGGUUCUACGUAAUCUUCCUCUCCUUGGAAGGUGCCCCAGAGCUAGGGACCUAGAGGCGGCCUGCAGGGAUCCACCUUCCUGGGCUACUCACCUGCCUGAAGCAUGCAAUUCCAGGUACUGCUUCCAACCAGGGCUCAGCACAUUGUGCUUGAGGUUGGG